CGGCGGACGGGUGAGUAACGCGUGGGUAACCUGCCUCAUACAGGGGGGUAACAGUUAGAAAUGACUGCUAAUACCGCAUAAGACCACGGUACCGCAUGGUACAGUGGUAAAAACUCCGGUGGUAUGAGAUGGACCCGCGUCUGAUUAGGUAGUUGGUGGGGUAACGGCCUACCAAGCCGACGAUCAGUAGCCGACCUGAGAGGGUGACCGGCCACAUUGGGACUGAGACACGGCCCAA
rnacentral:rRNA from 1 species